rnacentral:rRNA from 1 species
UACGGGGGGAGCAAGCGUUGUUCGGAUUUACUGGGCGUAAAGGGCGCGUAGGCGGCCACCGCAAGUCGGUUGUGAAAUCUCUGGGCUUAACCCAGAAAGGUCAACCGAUACUGCGGGGCUAGAGUGCAGAAGGGGCAACUGGAAUUCUCGGUGUAGCGGUGAAAUGCGCAGAUAUCAGGAAGAACACCAAUGGCGAAGGCAGCUCUCUGGGACGGUACUGACGCUGAGACGCGAAAGCGUGGGGAGCGAACAGG